GACGGAAGGUGCAAGCGUUGCUCGGAAUCAUUGGGCGUAAAGGGUGCGUAGGCGGCUUGGUGGGUCUGGUGUGAAAGCCCCGGGCUUAGCCCGGGAAGGGCACUAGAAACUGCUGAGCUCGAGUGCCGGAGGGGAGAGUGGAAUUCCUGGUGUAGCGGUGAAAUGCGUAGAUAUCAGGAGGAACACCGGUGGCGAAGGCGGCUCUCUGGACGGUGACUGACGCUGAGGCACGAAAGCGUGGGGAUCAAACAGG
rnacentral:rRNA from 1 species